rnacentral:rRNA from 1 species
UACGACGUAUCAGAGUUUGAUCCUGGCUCAGGAUGAACGCUGGCGGCGUGCCUAACACAUGCAAGUCGAACGAAGCACAUUCCUUCGGGGAUGUGACUGAGUGGCGGACGGGUGAGUAACGCGUGGGUAACCUGCCCUUUACAGGGGGACAACAGUUAGAAAUGACUGCUAAUACCGCAUAAGCGCACAGGGAGGCAUCUUCCCGUGUGAAAAACUUAGGUGGUAAAGGAUGGGCCCGCGUCUGAUUAGCUUGUUGGCGGGGUAAUGGCCCACCAAGGCGACGAUCAGUAGCCGGUCUGAGAGGAUGAACGGCCACAUUGGAACUGAGACACGGUCCAA